rnacentral:lncRNA from 1 species
UUUUUUUUUUCUUUUUCUUUACCUAAAAACACUAGUAGGUGAAGUUUUGUUUAAAAAACGUCCCAUAGUUGAGUCCUUAAACUUUCUCUCAUCAUUUUUAAAAAAAAAUGGUGAAAUGAUGAGUUGGCAGGUGACUCAUCCCCUAAAUACUAACCGUGUCGAAAUAUGUCUACAUUUUGUUAAAAAAAAUAACAAAAUGGUAAUUAAGGUGACAAAACUAUAAUUUAAUGAACAUAAUUUAAUUUGAUGGUUAGUGUGACUGCAAUUAAAAUUUAGUGGUAUCUAAUGUAUAUAUUAUAAAAUGUAUUAAUUUGGAGCUGUUGUAAAAUGUAAUUAUAAUAAUUAUUUUCUGAAAUUGAAUGAUAAGAUUUAUGAAACACCAACAUACCAUUGAACUUCUGACAUUGGUCUUAGUCUAAUUUUGAUUCACUCAUGUUAGGUCACAUCACGUUGUGAAACAAAGUUCAUCUCAAAUUUUAUUUGUAUCAUCUGAUUUUGCCAAUUUUAACUUCCAACAUGUAAUCAUGACUUUGAUAGUACAAGUUAAAACCCUACCCCAAGAACUAAUUGAAUGUUUAGUAAUUAUAAUACAACGUUAAUAUAGUUAUGAUUUGAAUUUAGAGGUGUUGAUCACGUUGGUAUAUUCACGUUCACGAAAAGGAAUCACGUUCGAAAAGUUUGGGAAUUAGAAGGAAAUUGGAUGUUAAAUUGUUGAGAGCUAGGAAUUGACUUGAUCCCACGCUCCUCUUUUUCUUUUGCAUUUACAUGUAUUUAUCAUAAAUUUAUAUUNNNNNNNNNNNAUGUAUUUAUCAUAAAUUUAUAUUCGGCUAAUUAUGAAAAUACCAGUAGCUUAUGCUCUUCGGCGCCGUAUUUUACCAAUUUUUUUAAAAAAAUAUCAAUAGUUAGAAUGAGUUGUUAGUGAAUAAUAUAAUUAUCAACCAAAAUUUCUUUCUAAAUGCAACGAUUAUCAACAUCGUGGCCCUCCCCAACGAACCCUUGGCUCCACCCCUGUUUUCACUCUAUGGAUUGACAUCUAAGUUUAUAAUUAACUAGUUGUGCCCAUGUUUAUAACUAGUUUCAGCAUUGUUGACGCAGACAACCGACACAUCAACUGUCCCAAUUAACAGCAACGAUUUGGCCUACACAGCCAGCCAUUAAAGGAUGAUGAACCAUGGAUAAAUUCUUUAAGGAUCUGUUUGUCUAGACAUUAUUAUUAUUAUUAUUAUUAUUGUAAAUAGGCCCCCCAUGGAUCGAUAUCUCUUCAAUUGGCCACUAGUAUUAUGAGCAGAGACUGAUGAUGGCACCCGAUAUUUUCACGUGGCCUUUGCCGGCUUCUUUCCGGAUGGCGAUAUGAAAGCAAACACCAAAAACCCACACGACACUUUGAAAGCCACAGGGAAUUUGCACAAAACGAAAAACAAAGGAAAAUGAAUGGCAACUAAAUUCAUACUCAGCGGAUAUCCGACUCUUCGUGAUUCGGUCAAUACGAGAAAUUACAUGUAUUGAUCGAGUUAUGGCCGGUACGGAAAGUAUUUUUUGUAAUUCGGUCAGCGAAAGAAAAUAGCUAUAUUUAUCGAGUUAUGGGUUGUGCAGAAAAGAUUUAUGAAAAAAUUAAAGAAUACGAGUCGAAUAUAGACUUAGGAAAUACGGGUUGGAGAUAGGCUUAGGUGCCCGCCUACUAACUCUUUUGUAAGUCACAAGCAUGAGGACAUUUCUUCAUUCAUGAAAAAUUACCUUUUUACGGUUGCAAAAGACAGAAAAGUGUGCAACAUUACUUUGCAAUUGAUACAGACUAUAAAAAAAUUUAAUUUUACGGAAGGUAAGUAUGAGAUUGUUUCAUAAACGGUCGUUAAUUUGUUGGUCACUAUAAAUUAUUAGUGACCAAUUUGACUUAUCAGUAACCAUUUUAUUAAAAAAUUUGUUGGUCACUAAAAUCCGUUUGUAUAAACUUGUCAUAUCAUUUACUUACGUAUAUGUCUGUAUAUAUACUAUGCACAUUAGCGGAUUUAAGAGAAGAUUCUUCUACAUCACGGACCUGCUCACAUUUAGCUAGGUCUAGAAUUUUGAUAAUAUAUGUUUUUUUAUCGUUUAAAAAGUUUAUUAAACAGUCACAUCUAAUUAAGUAUGAGACUAUUUCAUUAAACGAUGACUAAUUUAUUGCUCACUAUAAAUCACUGAUCAGAAACUGAUCACCAAAAUUGUUAGUAUAACAAAAUUUGCCAUAUCAUUACUUAAGCAUGUCUAAAUAUGUACUACACAAACUCACGGAUCUAAGAGAAGAUUCUCUUACAUCACCGAUCAGCUCACAUCUAAUAAGGUUUAGGGUAUGUAAUUUCGAUCAAAUAACUCAAAUCUUGCAGAUAAAUAAUUUAUCAUCGAUUUUUAUUUUUCCCGGGGGAAAAAAAAAAAAAAAAAAAUUUUUUGUUUUUCAAUUAUUGUGGUCGGAUUUAGAGUAAGUGAAACAAAAUAAAAAUAAAAAUGGGGUAAUAAAUUAAGAGAGAGAAAGAGAGGGAAGAAAGAGAGAUGAAAAAUCCGACGGUAAUUAAAUUUACCGUCACUUCAAAUAAGGGGAAAUGAAAACUCUCACAUGAUGGAUUUGAGGCACAAAGAUAUUNNNNNNNNGGUUUUGCGUAGCGUUUUUUUAAUCGAAAAACACAAAUUCAUUUUUUACUGCCGGAUUUCGCAAAAUCCGACCUAUUUGACCCGCACGGAAAAUGUUACCUUAGAAUUUUAGUAAUAUAUAAUUUUUUAAUUAUUUAAAAAGUUUACUAAUAUAUUUUUAUAUGCGGCCAAAUACAUUUACGACUCGUUCCAAACCAUCCAUGUAUAUCAAUAACUCGAUCAAGACAUGGCAGAAAAGAACAAAUCGGGGAUGCCAAAAACGCGGCCACGGAAUGAACUCGUUAGCUGGGUCUCUGUCGUUACGGGGUUUGGAUGAUUGCGUGGAAGUUGAUAGGGAUUUUCGUCGUACGUGCGUGCAGUUUGUAUAAAUAAUUUUUGUUUAAUGGUAAGCUUAGAACAAGCCUACCGACAUCCUCUGUUAUUUUUUUUAUAUAAUAAAUUCAAUUAUUAGUCACUCGAAACAUUUUUCUAAGUAAUCUAUAGCCUGGUAAGACCUAGUAUUCUAACGUGCAUUUCCACUCUGUUUUAUGUUACAACAAAAUCAAAUUAAGUAGGCCAGCCACACGUCCCCUAAAUUAUAGCAUGUCACCUCUGCAUGAACGUACGUGACCCAGACCAUUUUCUUGAUUCCGAAACGCAACCCAACUCGAUUCUGAAAUCUAGCCCGAUUUGGGUAGAGGAGAGGAUCUAAAUUCGUGAAAAGGGAGUAAAAUGAUUUGACGGAUCAGGUGGGAUACGUAUCAAUUGGCAGAGUUAUGUGUGGGUGGUUUAUAGAUAUUGAGUUCAAAUUCAAUUACUGUACGAAGGUAUAACCAAAGUUAACGGAUAGUUUUGAAGUAGUACAUAUGCAAGUCAAAGUACUACGAGGUGAUCAUCAAUUUCGGGUGCAAGAAUUAUUUAAAAUUAUAUAAAAUCAAAGCAUAUUUUACUAUUUAUUAAGAGAUUGAUUUUCUUUUUCAUUCAAUUUUGUUAGACUUAUUUAGUUGGGUCUCAACUUAACUAUAUUAAAUUACAUUAAAUAUUAAUUAAAAAAAAGUUAGCCAAUUUGAAAAGUUUCAAGACUAAAUAUAACACAAUUACCGUACAGUUUCAGAGAAAAUAUUUUAAACUUCAUUUUGACUAUUAUUUGUAAGGAUUAAUAUGGUUAAACAUAAAUAUGUAUNNNNNNNNNNNNNNNNNNNNNNNNNNNNNNNNNNNNNNNNNNNNNNNNNNNNNNNNNNNNNNNNNNNNNNNNNNNNNNNNNNNNNNNNNNNNNNNNNNNNNNNNNNNNNNNNNNNNNNNNNNNNNNNNNNNNNNNNNNNNNNNNNNNNNNNNNNNNNNNNNNNNNNNNNNNNNNNNNNNNNNNNNNNNNNNNNNNNNNNNNNNNNNNNNNNNNNNNNNNNNNNNNNNNNNNNNNNNNNNAUUAUUGUAAAGAAGUUAACGAAUUGACGUGUCAUCCGUUUCACACAUAUUGCAUGAUACAUGCACAUGGUGAAAAGAUAGUGAACGCAAACUUUGCUUAUCCACAUGAAUAAGUUAAGGAAGUAGUCACGUAAAUUUGAACUCACCACCACCUCAGAAAAUUACGUCACUGCUUCGUUCAUUUUGAUUACCUUUCUAACUAACACCUUUUUACAGUCUUUUUUAAAUUAAGUUGAAGAAUUCAACAACCUUAAUUGAUCACCUACAUAGUUCAACAUAAACCAUAAUUAUAUUAUAAUAUCCUACUGCUCAUCAAUGGCUGCUAUAUAUUCAUAUUGUUCUAAAUAUUUGUAUUGGAUCAUAAUCUAAUCUUUCCCAUUCGGACUAUUGUCUUUGAUAAUCGGAAAGUUUCCUGAUCAAUUUCUCUGUGAUUUUUCGUUGAAGAAAUUUCAUACUCACGUGAUGAUCAUCGUCGACUUUAUAUUUUAGGAAAAAAAUAUUAUUUCUUUGGAAAUAUUUUCCAACGAACGGCCAAUUUUGUAUGGAGAGUUGUACAGAUCACACAAAUAUAUACAUGUUUGUACAAACCGGCCGUACCGAAGUGUAUAUACAUUUGUAUAGCUUUUGUACAAAGUGUAACACUAAGUACUCUAGUAAGUAUCAUGUUACUUAGCAUAAUACUAGUAUACACAUUUGUAUAGCUAUGAAAUGUCAAUUUUGCUUCAUAUUUUCAGCCAUGAAAUCAUCUAAAACACAAUUUUUAGACGGUUAAAAUUUGUGAUAACUUUCAAAAUCAAAUGCAAAAACCAUUUUUUAACUCCAUAUCCGGACUCCUCCAUCAGAAAGAAACCAGAAACCACUAUUGAAUUGAUAUGGUUAUAAGUCCCUAGUGUUACGUUUUUCCUAGAAUUGGAAUUAACUUUGAGGGUAGGGAAGAACCAUGUUAUUAGUGGUACGAUUUUCAGAUUAAUUAGUGAGUUGUACGUCUUGGACACAUCAAAAAAGGGAACUAGACGUAUUGCAGGAUGUCAAUUAUCAACUGAGUUGUUACCCCCAUGAACAAAACUUUGAAUUAUAUUUAUGUCAUCAUAUGGUUCAUAGUUCACCUUAAUUUGAAAUUAAUAUAUAUCAAAAUAAUAGUAUAAUAAUGAUCCUAUAUCCUGAACUCGAUUACUCGGGUUAAAGAAGAAAUUUACAUGUCUAAUGAAGUUAAUAUGCAAUAAAAUUAGUUGAUUUUGGAGUUAUGGAAUACAAACAAUGAACAGCAAUAAAUCAUUGGAAAUUAAGGCCGUACGUUGACGGUGACAAAUUAUUGGUAGGUACACAAAUUGUAAUUUAAGUUGACAUAUUGAAAAGCUUAGGUCCAAGUAUGGACAUUUUAAUUAACAGUGAAUUUGAUUUCUACACAUGUUUAUUGAAAUCUUGAAAAAGAAUUUGUUGGCUACCAUAUGGUGACGGCUCCGGGUUGUACAUAGGCUAAGAAAUGCGACACUAUCGCUCUCAUUACGACAUGCGAAUUUUGGUGUGUGGAAAGCCGGAUGAGAUGUUGAUGAGUUAUUUACUUGGAUGAAAAUUUUAAAUUCUUAUAAAGUGUAAUUUGGGAAUCAUGUUUCAAUUUCCAUUUAAAUUUUAUUUAACAUUUUACCUGUCAAACUAAAUUUAGUUCGGUCCUCGAUAUAAACAUUACUUUUGAGCUAGAAAGCACGUAAUCUUCUGAUUUUAAUGACGACCGAAUUUCGUUUUCAUUAAUCGAAUAUCAUCAUGAGAGAUGGAGAAAUAGGACUUUGGGGUGCAAAAUCAAAACAUGAUAUCAGAAUCCAUAAUCACAAUUGUAAGCUAUCUUAUGCGCAUUAGUAGCUUUGCUUCGAAUAUUUUUGUUUUAUUACAAUUUUUCCCGUUUAAAAAGACAAAUCUUUUUGUUCUUGUUCCUUGAAUCUAGAACAAUAUGGGAAUUUAAACGUGCAUUGACAAAUUACUAAACUAUUAGUCAUCUCAUAAUCCCACGAGACAUAGACUCGAAUAAUGAGAAGGCCUAAAUAAGGGUUACAUGUUCAAUUCGAUCAAUAAAAACAGAGUAUUUCGAGAACAUAAUUAUACAAAAAUAAAAUCUGAACAUGUAACAAAAUUACUCGAUCAAUUAAAACUCAAUGUUUCGUCUUUCGCUUGCCUUGCUAUAGUCUCUGUUGCAUGCUGCAAUAAAACAACGAGUAUAAUGAUGAACCUAAAUCAGAAGAAAAACUUUCAAAAUCUCAUACACAAACAUCUACAUUAACAUGACAUUCCUCAAUCUUUGAAUUGCACAUAUCAACUGCCUCUCUACUGUCAAACCAGACAUUAGCUCUAUUUUCUUCUCGAAAAGCAAAAAGACAAGUAGCGAACAUUCCUCUAGUCUUAACAACGACUGAAAUCUUACAAAAAAAACGACCAUCCACUCCAUCAAUCAUAUGACCUUCAGGCUUCACACUAAUAACCCCAAAUCCCUACCUUCUCAACGUCCUUAAUAAAAAAACCAUUACACAUAAACCAAGUCCGAAAACUUCAUCCUCAAUUGAUUGUAUAACCAACCACCUUCUCUAGAUGGGGUUUUUUUCGAGUAAAGUCUCGAAAUCAAUCUCGGGUGGGUUGAUUCAUAACUCGAACAAACUUCGUCAAACGGCGACGAAAGAAUUCAGGAAUUUAGACACAGUAUCCACUCACUUUCAAAAUCGUAUUCCAGCACGUGAUCCACAUUAUCUUAAUUACAUAUAAUCCUCCCCGCCAGUGCACGACUCUCUGUUCCUAACUUCUCUCUCCAUUCCACGUAACCCACCCAAAAAAGAAACCAACCCAGAAAAAUCAAACCCGGGAAAAGAAAUUAAAGAUCCCCACUAUAAAUCAAAACCCACACAAUUGUCCAAUACUCAAAUUCCUAGGUUUUGUUUUUAUCGAUUUCAUUUCCCCCCCACCCCCGCGCCACAAAUUCUCUCUCUCCGGCGGUCAUGGCGGCGGCGCAAAUCAUACUCCUCCUCAUCGCUUCCUUUCUCUGCCGUUGUGAUAAGUCCCUGAGCUUCCAAUUGGCCCCCAAUUCGAAAAACUGUUCGAUCAAGGACCGGAUCGUGGGACUGGGUAAGGAGCAGGCGACGGUGGAUUGGAUGAAGGGGAUACGGCGGAGGAUUCACGAGAAUCCGGAGCUGGCCUAUGAGGAAUACCAAACGAGUGAGCUGAUUAGGGAGGAGCUCGAUCGGCUCGGGAUUCCGUACCGGUGGCCGGUCGCGAAAACCGGGAUUGUCGCCACGGUUGGGAGCGGUUCGCCGCCGUUCGUCGCUCUGAGAGCCGAUAUGGACGCUCUGCCUAUUCAGGUAAAAAUUCCAAUUUCAAUUUCUGGAGCAUCCUUUUCUGAUUGAUUCGCCGCCGGUCGGCCCCACGUUUUUUUCUGUUCAUAUACUAUAAUGAACACAGUGCAGAGGAAUCCUUUUUCAAUGUGGGAAAGCGAAUCUGAUUUCAGGAAUUAUUAUUGGCUGGCCAUUAUAGAAAAGAUAUUUCCUUUGAGUGGUUCCUUUAUGGCUUAGAACAAAAUGGGGUACGGAUGAUCAUUAUAAAAUGAUUGGUGCAUAGUUAAUUUGCUUAAAGUUGUAAUCUUUUGAACAUCAACCGCUUGAGUUCACAAUUAUUGGAAAAAAGUAGGCACUUUUCGUCCUGGGAAGUUGGUUGUUGCUGAGCUACUGGUCCAGAACAGUGCACUGAGUUGUUUGGUUUGGCUGGGGAUAGUUGAAUGAAAAAUUCGCUUCUUACAAAUUACUUUAUCGGGAUUUAACCUUCUCAAUAUUUCAUUCAACUUUUUUUCCACCCGGUUAAAUUAACCUGAGUUUUCCUUGUUACUUGAUGACUAUGGCUUCUUCUGUAGUUAGAUAUGAGUAGAGGUAGAGAGUCGUUGCAGAGGUUAGUAGAGGUUCGUAAAAGGCGAUUGAAAUUUGUGAAGAUCGACCAAUUGUUAUACCGGGGACUAAAAUGAUUGAUUUUUAAACCUUUUGCUCGGAAGCUCUGAUGUCAUGUAUGGAACUGUUGCAUCCAAGUUAUUGAGUGAGAUUCAUGAUUGGUUUUUGAUAACAUUGAGGGUUAUCCAUUUGGCUGAUCUGAGUUUCCUGAACCCAGAAGAAAGAUUGGAACUUUAAUUUGUGGCCGAACUCCAGAGACUUGUUCUUAUUAUUAGCUGUGAUUCUCUUCAGGAAAUGGUGGAGUGGGAGCAUAAGAGCAAAGUAGACGGCAAAAUGCAUGCUUGCGGCCAUGAUGCUCACGUUGCAAUGCUGCUCGGUGCAGCAAAGAUCCUGCAACAGAUUCGAGACACAUUGCAAGGGACAGUGGUCUUGAUCUUCCAACCGGCAGAGGAGAGAGGCCGUGGAGCCAAAGACAUGAUCGAAGAAGGCGCAUUGGACAAUGUGAAAGCAAUCUUCGGCCUCCACAUAGCUCAUGUGUUCCCAACCGGUUCGGUUGCUUCCAGGCCAGGACAGUUCCUGGCCGGAUGCGGAAGCUUCAAGGCGAAGAUCACCGGGAAAGGCGGCCACGCUGCGAUCCCUCAAAACUCGAUCGAUCCGAUCAUCGCCGCUUCUUCCUCAGUCAUCAGUCUCCAAAACAUUGUGUCGAGAGAGGCCGACCCUUUCGAUUCGCAGGUGGUUUCUGUGGCGAUGAUCAACGGUGGGAACGCGUUCAAUGUGAUUCCGGACUCGACCACCAUAGCUGGAACAUUCAGGGCAUUCAGCAGGGAGACAUUCAAGUCGUUAAGGGAGAGGAUCAAGGAAGUUAUCGGAGCACAGGCAGCGGUCCAUAGGUGCACUUCGGAUGUGGAUUUCGACGGGAGCGAACAUCCGACGAUUCCUCCCACGAUAAACGACGAGGGUGUGUACGAGCUCGCAAGACUCGUCUCACAGGAUGUGGUUGGGGAGUCCAACACUAAGGUGUCCCCUAGCUUCAUGGGGAGUGAGGAUUUUGCGUUUUACCUGGAUAGAGUUCCUGGCUCUUUCAUGUUUUUAGGGAUUAGGAAUGAGAAAUUGGGGGCAAUUUACCCUCCUCAUAACCCUUAUUUUUUCCUAGAUGAAGAUGCUUUGCCUGUAGGGGCAGCUGUACAUGCUUCCUUUGCACAUUCUUUUCUCUCUAAUUCUACCACGAGUUCUAGUUCUUACUGCUAAUAUUUUGCUUGGCGUACAACAUAUAUGUGUCGUUUUCUCUCUAAUUCUAACCUCGAAUUUUUCCAAAAUCCACCGGAUUUCAAAUUCAAGGCCAAAACCAAACCUCUCCAAAUGAAAUGGGGAAUUGGAAUUCGGCGGAAUCAAGCCCCCAAAUCUGGCGGAAAUGAAAACGUUGGUUUUGUUUAACCAAUUUUGAGGUGGAACUGGUCCGAUUAGGGUGGUCUCAAAAUGACAUCUUCAAUUCCGUUGGAUUUGAGAGUUUAAUUUCGCCUAAGUCCAGUCUAAGAAUUCCAUUUGGAAUGGGAAAAUCCUGCAGCUUUGAGAAUUUCAGCCUGAAUGGACACCCUUUCAACAAAAAAAUAAUAUCGUUUUGUGAUCACUGAAAACAGAUUAGACGUAAUUGAUCCAGAGUCCAGAAUUGGCCCCUAAAUCCGACCAAUUCUAGCACGACACGUGGCCAUAGCCCAUUGUUCUUCAUGUUCGAGAUCGGAUCGGGUCAGAUGAGGUGCAAGGACACAUAUACAAGGUUUUUAGAUUAAGCUGAACAAACAAUUGAAAUUGAUAACAUAAGAUAUUGGAACAUAGGCAUGUAAAUAGGGAUAGAAACACUUAGCAACUCACAAGACACAAGAAACUAAAGAUCCAACUUAUGGACAGAUAGAUAUAUAAAUAUAAGCUCUUCCUUUCUAGACUUGGAUCCUUGCAAAGAUAAAAGAAGCCAUGGCAAGAACAACUCCGACAGCUGCGGAAGGAGCCAUGAAGCCAUUCGAACCGUUGGUUGGAGUGGGAGCCAUGUCCAUGGGUGGCAUCCCAGGCAUAGGAGGCAUCCCUGGCAUAGGGGGCAUCUUGUCACCAGCAGAAGCUACUGCGAUCAAUGCAGCAGCGAAGAUGGCUCCGAAAACGAGCUUGACAGCCAUGGCAGAUGACAUCUCUGAAUGUUGGGAGAUUGAAAAUGAAAUGGGUUUUUUUUGUCAGUGAAGAGAGACUGUGUGAAUGAUGAGUUUGUUACAUGUGUGUAGUAUAUAUACGGAGAGGAGUAUGGUGCGGGUGAACUAUGGCAUUGUGAUUUCGUUACGGCCGAUGAAAGCUUUAUAUGCUGGUUUUUGUUCUUACCCAUGUAGGAGCCUAGUUUUGGACUUUAGGAUUGGUUUGGAAAUGAGAAUUAUGUUCUCAGGAAAGUUGAGUUGAAA